AUCUUUAUCUUUAUGAAGGCCAACACAGCACAACACAAGUGGGUGGGCGACGAGCAUCACGCCUGGCCGGCUUCGUCUCCCUCGUGGCGAUGUUGACGCAGCACGCCAGGCACUCAUUCAAGUCCGAGUCGACCUCGGGGAGGGCGGCCCAGCACCGGAUCCAGACACCUCCUUCGCCGACGUCGGCCGCGUGAGCGGGAAUCGAAACUCGGGGGUCGCGCGCUGAGCUCAACCGCGGCGGCCGCCGCCUCUUCCCGCGACGCAAGCGACGAGCAAAGACGCGUCGCUCCGACUGCCGCGGCCGACUACGUGCGGUGGCGUGAGAGGUCCUACAAGCACGUGGUCACGUGCAGAUCGCAGGCACGGUGACGUUGACGGUGGCACGGGGAUCGCAUUCACGGCUGAAAUCAGCGGCGAGUGAUGUCCCAACCGAUCCUGGGUUGGGACGUCAGCAGCGCGGAGACAAAGGCGAUUAAGCGAUUGCAGAAAGAAUGGAGGAGAGAAGAAAAAAACAUCCUGGAAAAAAUGCAACUCGAAAUGAAAACUGCCAAGAAACUGCUUUUGACUCAAAAACAGUUCCGACGUUUAAGGAACCAUGACCGCACAUGUUUACCAUUUCACAAUCACACGCUCAUCAUUUUAUCUUCAGUAGCCAAUUCCUGUUCUGCUAAUGUAGCGGUCCUAAUUAGGCGGCAUUAUUGUAUGGGUUUUGUAAAUUGACCACAGACGUUCAUGACAAUGUUAAUUUAUUUUCUGCUUUUUUAAGUCAAAUAUAAUUACACGCAAAUAUGCAUCCAGGUAGGCGGGCAGGUUGGCAGCGUGGUGGUCACGCUCGCAACCUCACAACAAGAAGGGAACUGGGUUAGAUUCCUGAUUCGGGCGCCUUUGUACAAUUUGCUACGUACGGUGCAAAAGAAGUUCAACAUAGAAAAACGUUCUCCUCCUACUCUGCAUGGGUGUCUUCUGUAUUCUCCAGUUUCCUCCCAUAUCCCCCCAAAAAAACUAUAUAUAAAUAUAUAAUAGUGACUGGUAUUGGCCAAACAUGCUGAUACAAUUAUCUGCCAAUGAUAUAAUUGGGAUAAUGCGUAGCAUCAUCACCGCCUGCCGCAGCGACUAUUUGUGCAAUACUUCUAAAGGACUCCUGCUGUACUCGUUCUCUGCAGUGUCGAUGUUUUUCUGUCUUUGUCUUUUUAGUGUUUUUUUGUGUUUUUUCAUCUUUGUGGAAUUACUCCGUGUAACAAAUAGACUUAAACUUAUUACGGAAACAUGGCAGAACCCUCCUGAAAAAGAUGAUUGUGGUUAUUAUAAAAUUAUCAACUCCCAUUAGCAGGGGUCAAUAAAACUAGUACCACUAUGUCGACUGAUUCCUGACAUAGGAAGAUGGAACUUCCACCACGAGGUCAAGACUGACACGUAAAAAUAUUCUGAAAAAAUCUAAUUUAUUAAAAAUAGUUAUAUGGUUUAUGAAAUACAUUUUCAUAGAAAUCAUUCAGAUUUUUUUUUUUUUAAACUAUUCGCAUUUUGAUCUUCUGGCCGUUACGGGCUACAUAGUUUGCAUGCAUUUAUUGCAACAGUAUCAAAAUUGCACCUUCGUUCACUCAAGACGCAUCGUGUGCAUCCCCAUCCCUCGCUUGCAAAUGACAUGAAGUGCCUCCAACAAAUCACACAUUUGGCCAAAUAUUUCUUUGAAUCACUUUUUUGGCACGCAAAAAAAAAACGCUCGAUUAAUGUCCUCCACGAUGCAGAAAGGGGAACGCUCCGUUGGCAGUGCUGUGCGUCGCAGUGACCUCGACAGCACGGGAAGGGGUUUCACGCGAUUUAAAUAUCCCAAUCCUGUCUCCGUAGCCUCAGCCUUCUGAGUGCGCCUUCACCCAAAGCUCAAUUUGUACCCCCGAGUAACACAGAGUUCAGCGCAGAAACGUUUCGGCUGUUGGA